AUUGAACGCUGGCGGCAUGCCUUACACAUGCAAGUCGAACGGUAACAGGUCUUCGGAUGCUGACGAGUGGCGAACGGGUGAGUAAUACAUCGGAACGUGCCCGAUCGUGGGGGAUAACGAGGCGAAAGCUUUGCUAAUACCGCAUACGAUCUACGGAUGAAAGCGGGGGAUCUUCGGACCUCGCGCGGCCGGAGCGGCCGAUGGCAGAUUAGGUAGUUGGUGGGAUAAAAGCUUACCAAGCCGACGAUCUGUAGCUGGUCUGAGAGGAUGAUCAGCCACACUGGGACUGAGACACGGCCCAGACUCCUACGGGAGGCAGCAGUGGGGAAUUUUGGACAAUGGGCGAAAGCCUGAUCCAGCCAUGCCGCGUGCAGGAUGAAGGCCUUUGGGUUGUAAACUGCUUUUGUACGGAACGAAAAGCCUCUUUCUAAUAAAGAGGGGUCAUGACGGUACCGUAAGAAUAAGCACCGGCUAACUACGUG
rnacentral:rRNA from 1 species